rnacentral:rRNA from 1 species
AGGGCGCACGGUGGAUGCCUUGGCACUAGGAGCCGAUGAAGGACGGGACUAACACCGAUAUGCUUUGGGGAGCUGUACGUAAGCUAUGAUCCAGAGAUUUCCGAAUGGGGGAACCCAGCAUCUUUAAUAGGAUGUUACGAUUGUGUGAAUACAUAGCACAUUCGAGGUAGACGCAGAGAACUGAAACAUCUAAGUACCUGCAGGAAGAGAAAGAAAAUUCGAUUCCCUGAGUAGCGGCGAGCGAAACGGGAAAAGCCCAAACCAACAAGCUUGCUUGUUGGGGUUGUAGGACUCCAAUAUGGUCGUUCUUUCAGAUAGUCGAAUGACUUGGAAAAGUCAGUCAAAGAGGGUAAAAACCCCGUAGACGAAAUGUGGAAGACACCUAGGAGGAUCCUGAGUACGGCGGAACACGAGAAAUUCCGUCGGAAUCCGGGAGGACCAUCUCCCAAGGCUAAAUACUCCCUAGUGACCGAUAGUGAACCAGUACCGUGAGGGAAAGGUGAAAAGCACCCCGGAAGGGGAGUGAAAUAGAACCUGAAACCGUGUGCCUACAACAAGUCAAAGCCCGUUAAUGGGUGAUGGCGUGCCUUUUGUAGAAUGAACCGGCGAGUUACGAUUGCAUGCGAGGUUAAGUUGAAGAGACGGAGCCGCAGCGAAAGCGAGUCUGAAUAGGGCGUUUGAGUAUGUAGUCGUAGACCCGAAACCAUGUGAUCUACCCAUGUCCAGGUUGAAGGUGCGGUAAAACGCACUGGAGGACCGAACCCACGUACGUUGAAAAGUGCGGGGAUGAGGUGUGGGUAGCGGAGAAAUUCCAAACGAACUUGGAGAUAGCUGGUUCUCUCCGAAAUAGCUUUAGGGCUAGCCUCGGAAUUGAGAAUGAUGGAGGUAGAGCACUGUUUGGACUAGGGGCCCAUCUCGGGUUACCGAAUUCAGAUAAACUCCGAAUGCCAUUCAUUCAUAUCCGGGAGUCAGACUGUGAGUGAUAAGAUCCAUAGUCGAAAGGGAAACAGCCCAGACCACCAGCUAAGGUCCCAAAAUAUAUGUUAAGUGGAAAAGGAUGUGGGGUUGCACAGACAACUAGGAUGUUGGCUUAGAAGCAGCCACCAUUUAAAGAGUGCGUAAUAGCUCACUAGUCGAGUGACCCUGCGCCGAAAAUGUACCGGGGCUAAACAUAUUACCGAAGCUGUGGAGUACACCUUUAGGUGUAUUGGUAGGAGAGCGUUCUAAGGGCGUCGAAGGCAGAUCGUGAGGACUGCUGGAGCGCUUAGAAGUGAGAAUGCCGGUAUGAGUAGCGAAAGACAGGUGAGAAUCCUGUCCACCGAAUGACUAAGGUUUCCUGGGGAAGGCUCGUCCGCCCAGGGUUAGUCGGGACCUAAGCCGAGGCCGAUAGGCGUAGGCGAUGGAUAACAGGUUGAUAUUCCUGUACCCGUUGUUUUUGUUUGAGCAAUGGAGGGACGCAGGAGGCUAAGGAAUGCAGACGAUCGGAAAUGUCUGUCCAAGCAGUAAGUCUGAAGAGGAGUCAAAUGCUUCUUUUCUUAAGGACAAGCUGUGAUGGGGAGGGAAAUAAUAGUACCGAAGUUCCUGAUGUCACACUGCCGAGAAAAGCUUCUAGUGAGAAAACAGCGGCCCGUACCGCAAACCGACACAGGUAGUCGAGGAGAGAAUCCUAAGGUGAGCGAGAGAACUCUCGUUAAGGAACUCGGCAAAAUGACCCCGUAACUUCGGGAGAAGGGGUGCUGAUCAUACGAUCAGCCGCAGUGAAUAGGCCCAAGCGACUGUUUAUCAAAAACACAGGUCUCUGCAAAAUCGUAAGAUGAAGUAUAGGGGCUGACGCCUGCCCGGUGCUGGAAGGUUAAGAGGAGUGCUUAGCGCAAGCGAAGGUACGAAUUGAAGCCCCAGUAAACGGCGGCCGUAACUAUAACGGUCCUAAGGUAGCGAAAUUCCUUGUCGGGUAAGUUCCGACCCGCACGAAAGGCGUAACGAUUUGGGCACUGUCUCAACGAGAGACUCGGUGAAAUUUUAGUACCUGUGAAGAUGCAGGUUACCCGCGACAGGACGGAAAGACCCCAUGGAGCUUUACUGUAGUUUGAUAUUGAGUGUCUGUACCGCAUGUACAGGAUAGGUAGGAGCCGUAGAAAUCGGAACGCUAGUUUCGAUGGAGGCGCUGGUGGGAUACUACCCCUGCGUUAUGGCCACUCUAACCCGCACCACUGAUCGUGGUGGGAGACAGUGUCAGAUGGGCAGUUUGACUGGGGCGGUCGCCUCCUAAAAGG